rnacentral:sRNA from 1 species
UGAUGGCUCAGUGAGGCCUUCGGACUGGCUCAGGGGGGUUGGCAACGACCGCCCAGAGCCGGAAAGUUGGUCAAACUUGGUCAUUUAGAGGAAGUAAAAGUCGUAACAAGGUUUCCGUAGGUGAACCUGCGGAAGGAUCAUUACCGAGUGCGGGUCCCCCGGGGCCCAACCUCCCACCCGUGUUGACCGACCCCUGUUGCUUCGGCGGGCCCGCCUGGGCUUUCCGCCUCGGCCGCCGGGGGGCUUAGCCCCCGGGUCCGCGCCCGCCGAAGACCCCCUGAACGCUGCCUUGAAGGUUGCCGUCUGAGUGAUAAAUCAAUCAUUAAAACUUUCAACAACGGAUCUCUUGGUUCCGGCAUCGAUGAAGAACGCAGCGAAAUGCGAUAAGUAAUGUGAAUUGCAGAAUUCCGUGAAUCAUCGAAUCUUUGAACGCACAUUGCGCCCCCUGGCAUUCCGGGGGGCAUGCCUGUCCGAGCGUCAUUGCUAACCCUCCAGCCCGGCUGGUGUGUUGGGCCGCCGUCCCCCCGGGGGCGGGCCCGAAAGGCAGCGGCGGCGCCGCGUCCGGUCCUCGAGCGUAUGGGGCUCUGUCACGCGCUCCGGGGCCCGGCCGGCUGCUGGCCAACGACCUCACGGUCACCUCACUUCUCAGGUUGACCUCGGAUCAGGUAGGGAUACCCGCUGAACUUAAGCAUAUCAAUAAGCGGAGGAAAAGAAACCAACAGGGAUUGCCCCAGUAACGGCGAGUGAAGCGGCAAGAGCUCAAAUUUGAAAUCUGGCCCCUCCGGGGUCCGAGUUGUAAUUUGCAGAGGAUGCUUCGGGUGCGGUCCCCGUCUAAGUGCCCUGGAACGGGCCGUCAUAGAGGGUGAGAAUCCCGUCUGGGACGGGCGGCCGUGCCCGUGUGAAGCUCCUUCGACGAGUCGAGUUGUUUGGGAAUGCAGCUCUAAAUGGGUGGUAAAUUCCAUCUAAAGCUAAAUAUUGGCCGGAGACCGAUAGCGCACAAGUAGAGUGAUCGAAAGAUGAAAAGCACUUUGAAAAGAGAGUUAAACAGCACGUGAAAUUGUUGAAAGGGAAGCGCUUGCGACCAGACUCGCCCGCGGGGGUUCAGCCGGUACUCGUACCGGUGUACUCCCCCGCGGUCGGACCAGCGUCGGUUUGGGCGGCCGGUCAAAGGCCCCCGGAAUGUGUCGCCUCUCGGGGCGUCUUAUAGCCGGGGGUGCAAUGCGGCCAGCCUGGACCGAGGAACGCGCUUCGGCACGGACGCUGGUGCAAUGGUCGUAAGCGGCCCGUCUUGAAACACGGACCAAGGAGUCUAACAUCUACGCGAGUGUUCGGGUGUCAAACCCGUACGCGCAGUGAAAGCGAACGGAGGUGGGAGCCCCCCGGGGUGCACCAUCGACCGAUCCUGAUGUCUUCGGAUGGAUUUGAGUAGGAGCGUAGCUGUUGGGACCCGAAAGAUGGUGAACUAUGCCUGAAUAGGGCGAAGCCAGAGGAAACUCUGGUGGAGGCUCGCAGCGGUUCUGACGUGCAAAUCGAUCGUCGAAUU